CUGUAUUAUCCAGACAUGCAGCCCAACUUUAUUUCCUAUCCAGUAAGCGCCUGCGUUUCUCUUCAGCUGUCUGUGAUUUUAACCACACCGGAUGAGGUGGGGACCAGAGGCUUGAACCUGGGUCAUUGUGCAUUGUAACAUGUGUGCUCAACCAGGUGCACCACCACCCAGCCCCUUUGUCUCUCAUCUCCUAUCUGAAGGGGAAAAAAUGGCUGCCGGGAGCGGUGAAGCUAUGCUGGCACCAAGCCCCAGCAAUAACCCAGGUGGUAAAUAAAUUAUUGUGUAAGUCUUUAUGUGGCUCUGAGGUCGCGGGUUCAAUUUCCAACACCAACAUAAGUCAGAGAUGAGCAGCGCUAAAAUAAAAUAAGUUUUUAUGUGAAGCAGGUUUUCAGUUCACCUGAGCAAAAUACCAAGAGGUAUCUUUGUUUUGUUAUCACCAUGGAUCACUUCUGCGGGAUGACUUUUUUUUUUCUCUCUCACAGAGAGAUAAAGAAGGAGGGGAGCACUCAAACAUACACAAGACCACUGCACUGAUCUUCAUCCAACGCAGUGGGAGGCGGGUGGGUUCAAACCCGGGUUGUACACAUGACAAAGUAACCCAAGUGUCAAAGAGUUUUCUUUUGAGUUCCUAAGUUUACACUAGCAAUGCUCUAAAACUAUAAAUGUCUUUCCUCCUGUGUAGUUAUUAGUCAGACACUAUCAUCAGGAUACCCCCUGCCUGGGUCAUUUACAGGAAACAGCUACAGAAGACUGAUAACUAAGGCGCUCAAACUGACUCACAUCCACCCUUUGAAAAAACUGUAAGCAAGUGCUAAUCCUUGGAUGAGGUAGAGUAAAGCCACUUUUCAGUAAUAGCAUUUUAAAAGUAAUAGUUUGUGUUCAUUCCCAGCUCUAAAGAACCUAAAGGUCAGCAAAAUCCAAGCUUCUCUAAGUAAAUCUAAGUUCUUACACAGUCAAGUAAAGCACAGGAAUUAAAUGCCACGAUAUGGUUCAUGUCAGAGUUUUUCUCUCUUUCAUAAAUAAGUAAAUAAAAAGAUAAAAAUAAAUAUAUAAAUAAAUUUUUCUUUAAAAUUCAGGCUCUCUAGGAAGCAAAAGAUGGAGUUCUAGGGGAUAUUUAUGCAGAAGGGGCUUUAAGAUGAACUAGGCAGGUAGACAGCCCCCUAAAAGUGAAUACACGUUUUCUUUUCUUUUUUUUUUCAAUUAAAAAAUAUGCUAGAGAAAGACUGCAAGAAAUUACAGCACUAAAGCUUCCUUUAAUGUGGUGGGAGUUGGACUCAAACCUGGACCAUGAGUGUGGCAAAGCAGCACACUAUCCAAGUGAGCUAUGUCCCAGGCCCAAUGCAAAUGUAUUCCAUGUAGUUAGUUAAGAGGACACAGUGUGUCUGCCUCAUAUCACAGUCUAAAAAAGGAGUGCAAGACCCAUAAAAUAGUCAAAGGGGUGACAAACCCUGCAUGUGGUAGGAAGGGGGAGGAGAAGCAGCUGGCCUCUCUGGGAUCAUCAAAGAAACUGCAGGUAUUGUCUGCUCUCUGUUCACCAGCUCUUAGAGCAAAUAAGGGGUCCAGGUGCAUUCCUCCCCAUCAGGAGGGAGAGGUUAAGAGAAAGCUGUCCUUGAAGAAUGCAGCAAGAAUGUCACUUAUUAUUCAGGUACUUUUACCAGUCAUUGACUCUGGUCAUAAUUCUACAUCUACUAUAUAUGCUUUAAUUACAAGUGUCAUGUAAUCUGAGUGGUGAAAAAAAAAUCAGCUUCCCCAAUUUACAUAUUUUUCAGAGGCCACUUGCAGCCUCAAAUUGAAUCAGGCAGUCACAAAAUUAUUUGGAUGAAGCGGGCCCAGAAACCAAAGAAUCUACCAGCCAGCAUCCACCCUGUGCUUCAGUCCUGCCUGCCUGCCUGCACCAGCUAAAGCAGACAUGCUUCAUAGAACGAACUGUCAGCCACAUCAACCAAAGUCAUCAGUUCCACCACUCAAAGCUAAUUAAAGGCUCUAGUCUCUUUAUUCCUCUGUUUCUCCCUUCCUAAAUUUAUUUUCGUGUUGAUGUUGCCUAAAGAUGCAGAGAGGACUGUUUUGUCCUUCAAUGUCCUGAUUCUCUCUGGUCCUCAUGCCCCAUUUGACAUGAAUCUGCGUGUAAAAUCCUGAAUGCAUCUUG